UACAGAGGGUGCAAGCGUUGUUCGGAAUUAUUGGGCGUAAAGAGCUCGUAGGCGGUGUGUCACGUCGGCCGUGAAAACCUGCAGCUUAACUGUGGCGUGCGGUCGAUACGGGCAUCACUGGAGUUCGGCAGGGGAGACUGGAAUUCCUGGUGUAGCGGUGAAAUGCGCAGAUAUCAGGAGGAACACCGAGUGGCGAAGGCAGUUCUCUGGGCCGCAACUGACGCUGAGGAGCGAAAGCAUGGGGAGCGAAACAGG
rnacentral:rRNA from 1 species